rnacentral:rRNA from 1 species
AUUGAACGCUGGCGGCAGGCCUAACACAUGCAAGUCGAGCGGCAGCGACAUACACAGAUCCUUCGGGUGCGUAUAUGGGCGGCGAGCGGCGGACGGGUGAGUAAUGCCUGGGAAUAUGCCCUGAUGUGGGGGAUAACCAUUGGAAACGAUGGCUAAUACCGCAUAAUCUCUUCGGAGCAAAGAGGGGGACCUUCGGGCCUCUCGCGUCAGGAUUAGCCCAGGUGAGAUUAGCUUGUUGGUGAGGUAAGAGCUCACCAAGGCAACGAUCUCUAGCUGGUCUGAGAGGAUGAUCAGCCACACUGGAACUGAGACACGGUCCAGACUCCUACGGGAGGCAGCAGUGGGGAAUAUUGCACAAUGGGGGAAACCCUGAUGCAGCCAUGCCGCGUGUAUGAAGAAGGCCUUCGGGUUGUAAAGUACUUUCAGUUGUGAGGAAGGCGUAUACGUUAAUAGCGUAUGUGUUUGACGUUAGCAACAGAAGAAGCACCGGCUAACUCCGUGCCAGCAGCCGCGGUAAUACGGAGGGUGCGAGCGUUAAUCGGAAUUACUGGGCGUAAAGCGCAUGCAGGCGGCUUGUUAAGCCAGAUGUGAAAGCCCGGGGCUCAACCUCGGAAUAGCAUUUGGAACUGGCAGGCUAGAGUCUUGUAGAGGGGGGUAGAAUUUCAG